rnacentral:rRNA from 1 species
UCCUACGGGAGGCAGCAGUGGGGAAUAUUGCACAAUGGGCGAAAGCCUGAUGCAGCAACGCCGCGUGAGUGAUGAAGGCCUUCGGGUUGUAAAACUCUUUUCUUAGGGAAGAAUAAAUGACGGUACCUAAGGAAUCAGCCCCGGCUAACUACGUGCCAGCAGCCGCGGUAAUACGUAGGGGGCAAGCGUUGUCCGGAUUUAUUGGGCGUAAAGCGAGCGCAGGUGGUUUAAUAAGUCUGAUGUAAAAGGCAGUGGCUCAACCAUUGUGUGCAUUGGAAACUGUUAGACUUGAGUGCAGUAGAGGAGAGUGGAAUUCCAUGUGUAGCGGUGAAAUGCGUAGAUAUAUGGAGGAACACCGGUGGCGAAAGCGGCUCUCUGGACUGUAACUGACACUGAGGCUCGAAAGCGUGGGUAGCAAACAGGAUUAGAUACCCUGGUAGUCCACGCCGUAAACGAUGAGUGCUAAGUGUUAGAGGGUUUCCGCCCUUUAGUGCUGAAGUUAACUCAUUAAGCACUCCGCCUGGGGAGUACGGCCGCAAGGCUGAAACUCAAAGGAA